UUUUCUGUGUGAUCUGAAUUUUAGUCCUAAUAGUGGUUACCUCCUCGAUUUUAAAUAAGAUGCUUAAUUUUCUACUAUCAAUCAAUUAAUCAGAAAUCAAAUAGUAUCUAUUAUCUCCCAAAUACAAAAGGUGAGAAAAUUAAUGAUCUUCUAUUUCCUCCCAUUUCCUUUCCACCUAUGCCUUCCUCCCAAUGAACAGACACUUGUUAUUAUGUUAUUGGAUUUUUUCUUCCUUAUGGCUGUAUUAUUAUCAUUAUUGCUAUUAUUUUUACAUUUGGUAAAGGUUUUUUUCUUUCAUGGACUUCUUUUAAAUGCAAUAAAACUCUGAAAGAGGCUAAAGUUAUCGGACACCAAUAUCUCUGCAUGAAUUAAAUGCUCAAGUUACUUUCUUUUUUUUUUUUUUUGAGAUGGAGUCUCACUCUGCUGCCCAGGCUGGAGUGCAGCGGUGCCAUCUCAGUUCACUGCAGCCUCCGCCUCCCUCCCGGGUUCAAGGGAUUCCCCCACCUCAGCCUCCUGAGUAGCUGCCACCAUGCCCUGCUAAUUUUUUGUAUUUUUAGUAGAGAUGGGGUUUCACAUGUGGCCCAGGCUGACAGAUUACUUUCAUUCAUUGCAGUAGAGGCUCCUACAGGAUGCAGGACAGUAAACAGGCUGGGGGUGGAGAAAACACGAAAAAGGAAAUUGGAUGACAGAUGGGGAAAUACAUUGACGGCUAAUACCUACUUCUCUGUUUUGCCUUUUGUUGAUCAUAGAAACAAGGCGAAAACAUAAUAGAAACUAAAUAAACGUUCGCAGAGGGCACCAGGAUUUCGGAUGCUCUCAUGGCACGGAAGAGGAGCAGUAAGACACACAUGUGCGGAUAAUCAAAGGUGGGGAUGGUGGGUGGGUUGGCACAAGAGGUGGGACGAGGGAGAGAAGCGCUGACCUUCUCAGGGAGUCCUCUGCAUCACUGCUUCUCAGCAUCACACUUUGAGAGGACUCUUCCAGCUCCAAAGCCCUGGCCACGUCACGUCCUGUCCCCACGGUCACUCUGGCCAGGCAGGCCUCUCAUUGUGAAAUGGGGCCCUGCGCACAAAAACAACGGCCUCGUGCUUGUGGCAGGCUGAAUUCUUUCUGAAACUGCCCUGGGUUUCUUUAUCUGAGCCCCUUGUGAGAACACAGGAAACUCUGCUUCCCCAAUCCUGAAAUAUCUGCCUCAGGAAGGAAGGGAUAUUGUCUUUCCAGGGGCCUCUGUUUGGCGUGUGAGCCAGUUCGAUAGCUCGCUUUGUAAAUCCACUGCAAAAGCAAACCCACUCAGACCUUCCUUGGAAAUGGCAUAUUUGAAAGAUAAUGUCCAAAUCCAUUUAAACAGUGGGGGAAAAAGUUAGGUCAUAAAACCAGUACAAACUUCGUACAAACUGGUCUAAACACAAUACUGGAGAGGUGUUUGGUUGUUUGGUUUGUUUUCAUUUGUUGAUUUUUUUGUUUGUAUUGGCUUACCAAGAAUUGUUCAAAAGAAAAAUCAUUCCGUUUUUUUUCUUCGACAUUCUUGUCCUACUGAGGGAAUAAUUUGUUAAUUCACUUUUCACUGGAUCCAAAUGGAAUUCAUUUUUUAGCCUUUAUAGAAAACAUACAAACCCUCCACUAGUUCAAUAUUUUAUGAUUAAUUUUGAUAAACAAGUAGGCGAUAUCAGGACAUCUUCAGAGAUGAAUAUAAUUGAAUUCAAGUGCUCUCACGCUGACUAUUAAAAGAUUUCAAUUUCACAUGUUUGCCAGAGACCAGGGACAGGAUGAACCUCCGGCGUUGCCUCAUAGUGCCAGUGUCCUGGGCUUCUAGAAGCAGCAAUGGUAUCUGUGGCUGGCCGAGUUUUCUGGGCCAUCACCGUGAUUUCUAAGCUGGACUCUAGGGCUCAUCAUGCUCCCACAAGCCUCAGAUGGCCUUUAUUUCACAGCAGACAACAAACCCACCUUUCUGUCAAAGGUUGAGGUCCGGAAAUGAAUUUUUAAACUAUGUCUUGAGGCCACUAAAUUCCAAGACCGUUUCUCUUUCUCUCUAUCCCAUCACCACAGACCCCAGGUAUUAUUUGUACACCAAACACAGCCGUGCAACUAAAAAAAUAAAAAUAAAAAUGAAGGUUAAGCGCUCUUUGCCUCCAACUUCUAAUAGAAACUCUCCGGCCGUGUUUCUCAGUUCUGAAAUGUUCUCUUCCCAGGAGCAAUCUCCAUGUUUUCCAGUGCCUUCCCUGCCUGCCCUGCUGCCCGGGCUCUGCUCCUCCCGCUGCCCACCCAAGUGGCCCUGCCUCAAGUGUCCUCCAGCUCACACUGUGCUUCUCAAACAGUGGCUCCCCGAAGAUGUCCCCAGUGAGGAGGGUGAACAAAAAGCGCCUUUCACAGGAUCUCCCAGGCACCGCGAGGCAGGCUUUGAGGAGCCUGUCAAGGAGGGCAAAGGCCUCGCUUUGAAAACGCUUCUCCAGUGUGCUGGCUCGUGGGACUUGGCAGGCCCAGGGAACGGCGCCGCGGGGAAGAAAGCCCCUGGAUGGGCCUCCCUGGCGGGCACCCCCUGCUCUUUUCAUUCGGCCCCAUGUGACGCCCGUGAGGGAGCUGGCAGGCCAGGGCCUGGUGAAUGAAUCCUGUUUGUCAGGGCCCCCGCCCUGACUGCAGCCCCAUGCGUCAGGACACACGCUUCCCGACUGCUAAAUGACGGCUGAGAAAAGGACAGCGGUUUUCGGUGUUUGUAGGACAGGCAGGAGUGGCCGGGCGAGGACGGAGAUCAGUCAUAGAGGAGCAAGUCCAAGUCCAAAAAGUAAAAACUCCACCGACCACAGGAGACUUUUCUUCUCUGCUCUGGGCAGCAAGAAGGCCCCGUGGUUCAGCACAGAAAAGCACCCGCUGGCAGCUCGGUCCUGUUUAGUUCUGGGUUCGGUGCAAUUUCUUUGUUGAAAUUUUGAGAAACUCAGUUUCUCCCUCUGUAAAACAGGUAGAAUCACACGAGCCCAUGGGAGCUGCUCAGUAAAGCUCCAUUGUUUAAUCACCUGACCAAUGGCAAAUCCGAGUCCUAAAUGCUGACUCCACUGGCCACCAGUAGUGGGUGCGUAAUGAGAGUGAGAAUUCAAGGGCAGCCACCUACCUCGCCCAUCUGUUUACUUUUCCUGCCUUGGUCUAAAAUGGUUCCAAGGCCCCAGACUCACAGCAGUCAUGCCUCUUCCGCGGCGGCCAGAAGUGCAGAGGACAGUGUUAUUCAAGGUCGUCUGAAGAGGGCAAGGACCUACCUGCCACAAAGGGUCAUUGUGAAAAUGCAAACGUCCAGGAGCAAGGAUUAAGGGGAGGACUCCCACGCCGGAGAGCAGCCAAGGGCACCCCCUUGCCGAGAGCAAAAAGAACAUGUGGUCACUUCUAGAAGGCAGAGUGACAAGUCAAAGCCUCUCUGUGAGUUAGCAGAAAGCAUUCCCUCUGGGUGGAGGAAUUACACAUACCUUCCUGGGCAGGCAAGUGAGGAAAGGGGUGCCUGUCUGGGCAAUCCAGUCAGGACGAGUGCCCUUUUCUCCCAGACUGGGGACACCGUCUGGAGGGCAGUGCCCACUCCCUCUCCCUCUCUGCGCACCGUGGCACACCCUGCGGGGCCCUGCCUUUCACUGCUGUGCAGCUUGACAGGGAAACGUCAAGGUCAAACAGGAGGCCUCUCACAGGUGCAGGAAGGAACACCAAAGCAUCUUCUUGAGAAAUAAACAAUGUUGCCUCUUUUAGCUCUAAUUUUUUCUGUAUGGCUUUGAAGUGGCAGCGUCUAGGGAAACCCCCAAUACCUUUCAAGAGGGGAGAUCAAGGACUCCUGCGUGUUGCAGUGAAGUUACUGAAGCCAUUCAUUCAUUCGGCCAACAGCCAUCACCACAGCUCUACGGCGUGUCCCCGGUAAGUCUGCUGUCAACACACAGACAUGGGGGGCGUCAGCACAGCCUUGACCUCUGCGAGGUCACAAUCCAAGGUGGCUGCGAGACCAACAGUAG
ensembl:lncRNA